GCAGCAUGGUAGGUAGCAAUACUUAUUGAUGGCGACCGGCGCACGGGUGAGUAACGCGUAUGCAACUUACCUAUCAGAGGGGGAUAGCCCGGCGAAAGUCGGAUUAAUACUCCAUAAAACAGGGGUCCCGCAUGGGAAUAUUUGUUAAAGAUUUAUCGCUGAUAGAUAGGCAUGCGUUCCAUUAGGCAGUUGGCGGGGUAACGGCCCACCAAACCGACGAUGGAUAGGGGUUCUGAGAGGAAGGUCCCCCACAUUGGUACUGAGACACGGACCAAACUCCUACGGGAGGCAGCAGUGAGGAAUAUUGGUCAAUGGCCGAGAGGCUGAACCAGCCAAGUCGCGUGAAGGAUGAAGGAUCUAUGGUUUGUAAACUUCUUUUAUAGGGGAAUAAAGUGUGGGACGUGUUCCAUUUUGUAUGUACCCUAUGAAUAAGCAUCGGCUAACUCCGUGCCAGCAGCCGCGGUAAUACGGAGGAUGCGAGCGUUAUCCGGAUUUAUUGGGUUUAAAGGGUGCGUAGGUGGUAAUUUAAGUCAGCGGUGAAAGUUUGUGGCUCAACCAUAAAAUUGCCGUUGAAACUGGGUUACUUGAGUGUGUUUGAGGUAGGCGGAAUGCGUGGUGUAGCGGUGAAAUGCAUAGAUAUCACGCAGAACUCCAAUUGCGAAGGCAGCUUACUAAACCAUAACUGACACUGAAGCACGAAAGCGUGGGUAUCAAACAGGAUUAGAUACCCUGGUAGUCCACGCAGUAAACGAUGAUUACUAGGAGUUUGCGAUACACAGUAAGCUCUACAGCGAAAGCGUUAAGUAAUCCACCUGGGGAGUACGCCGGCAACGGUGAAACUCAAAGGAAUUGACGGGGGCCCGCACAAGCGGAGGAACAUGUGGUUUAAUUC
rnacentral:rRNA from 1 species